AAUUAUCACGCAGAGGCCACAGAAAGAGGGAAACAGUAGCUUUCAGUUUUAUUCACAAGACCUGAAGGCGACUGGCUGGCAGUGGAAAACGAACCUAAAAGAAAACAAUAAUGAGUGUUCGAGUGUCUUCUUUUCUCUUGCUAUUGGUGGUUGCACUUGCUACAGCGAGAACGUGGGGAAAGUCGUUCGAGUUUAACGACCGAGCCGAUAUAUCACGUUGUGAACGCGAAGGUGAUGAUGAGUGCAAGUGUGAAAAGUACUACGAAGGAAUUGAAGGACAGGGUUGCU